rnacentral:rRNA from 1 species
GAUGAACGCUGGCGGUGCGCCUAACACAUGCAAGUCGAACGAAGGAUUGUGAAGGAACUUUACGGAGGGAAAACAUAAUGACUGAGUGGCGGACGGGUGAGUAACGCGUAGGGAACCUGGCCCUUACAGGGGGAUAACAGAUGGAAACAACUGCUAAUACCGCAUAAGCGCCCAGCCUCGCAUGAGGCAGAGUGAAAAACUAAGGUGGUAAGGGAUGGCCCUGCGUCCGAUUAGCUAGUUGGUAUGGUAACGGCAUACCAAGGCGACGAUCGGUAGCCGGCCUGAGAGGGUGGACGGCCACAUUGGGACUGAGACACGGCCCAA